GUGCUCAGUUCAGCAGCACACAUACUAAAAUUGGAACCACACAGAGAUUAGCAUGGUCCGGUGCAAGGAUGACACGCCAAACUUUU
ensembl:snRNA U6 U6 spliceosomal RNA